AUAUACCACCGUCGUCAGCUUACCCUGUGAAGGACGAAUAGUAAGCACAAUUGGCACAGCCCAAUACGUCAGGUCGAGGUGUAGUGCAUGAGAGGGGAAGAAAUGGGCUACAUUCGCUAGCAACUAGCGAAUACGAAUGAUGUGUUGAAAUACACAGCUGAAGGAGGAUUUAGCAGUAAGCAAGAAGCAGAGUGUCUUGCUGAAACCGGCUCUAAAGCGCGCACACACCGCCCGUCACCCUCCCCGAGCUCCCCAGACCAUUUUUAACUAAAGCCCUGCAACUGCAAAGGAGAGGAAAGUCGUAACAUGGUAAGCGUACCGGAAGGUGCGCUUGGUAAAAU
rnacentral:rRNA from 1 species